AUUGAACGCUGGCGGCAGGCCUAACACAUGCAAGUCGAGCGGAUGAAGGGAGCUUGCUCCUGGAUUCAGCGGCGGACGGGUGAGUAAUGCCUAGGAAUCUGCCUGGUAGUGGGGGAUAACGUCCGGAAACGGGCGCUAAUACCGCAUACGUCCUGAGGGAGAAAGUGGGGGAUCUUCGGACCUCACGCUAUCAGAUGAGCCUAGGUCGGAUUAGCUAGUUGGUGGGGUAAAGGCCUACCAAGGCGACGAUCCGUAACUGGUCUGAGAGGAUGAUCAGUCACACUGGAACUGAGACACGGUCCAGACUCCUACGGGAGGCAGCAGUGGGGAAUAUUGGGCAGUAGGCGAGAGCCUGAUACAGCCAUGCCGCGUGUGUGAAGAAGGUCUUCGGAUUGUAAAGCACUUUAAGUUGGGAGGAAGGGCAGUAAGUUAAUACCUUGCUGUUUUGACGUUACCAACAGAAUAAGCACCGGCUAACUUCGUG
rnacentral:rRNA from 1 species